UGAUGAAUGAAGGAGAAAAAAUGUGAUAAGCAUAAAUUAUAUAUUUCGCGCAGUUCACAUUAGGCAGAUCCUAUGCAAGGCACUGGGACUCACCCAGCUGAUGCCAAGCUAGGCCCCAUUCGUCCUCCUUGCUUGUGGAAGUUGCGUGGGAGACUGGUGCUACGGAAUCUAAUUAAUGAAUCAUAUUGAGACAAAAGCUAAUGAAUUCCGAAGAAGUUAAAAAAAUUCUUCAGACACUGCAUUUUCUGUUCCGCAUGUAUUUUAGUAAAAUGUGUAGGAUUUUUACUCACUUUGUACCAAGACUUCUACACUUCCGAUGACCUGGGACAAAUUUAUUGGCAGCAGAGGCGGCGUGUAGUCUGAGCGAACCAGCACAUCCUCUAGCUGGUGAUAAAGAAAGAGCGGCAACACCUGCAACAUCCCCAACUGAUUCUUUGCUACUGCUUGAAGAAGGUGCGGGCGAAUUAGGCUCAAGUUUCAUAGAUAAU
rnacentral:misc_RNA from 1 species